rnacentral:pre_miRNA from 10 species
UGUGUCUCUCUGACUGGGGGCUCGAGGUUGAUUGUCCAAACGCAAUUCUUGUGUUCCUGGUGGCAGCAGGAGUUGUGACUGGACAUCUGCCCUCUGGCCUCUACUACCGGGAGAGACAGG